rnacentral:rRNA from 1 species
UGUAAAGUACUUUCAGUCGUGAGGAAGGUGUUAAGGUUAAUAACCUUAGCAAUUGCCGUUAGCGACAGAAGAAGCACCGGCUAACUCCGUGCCAGCAGCCGCAGUAAUACGGAGGGUGCGAGCGUUAAUCGGAAUUACUGGGCGUAAAGGGCACGCAGGCGGUUAAUUAAGUUGGAUGUGAAAUCCCUGGGCAUAACCUAGGAAUGGCAUUCAAGACUGGUUAGCUAGAGUCUUGUAGAGGGGGGUAGAAUUCUAUGUGUAGCGGUGAAAUGCGUAGAGAUGUGGAGGAAUAACGGUGACGAAGGCGGCCCCCUGGACAAAGACUGACGCUCAUGUGCGAAAGCGUGGGGAGCAAACAGGAUUAGAUACCUUGGUAGACCACGCUGUAAACGAUGUCGAUUUGGAGGUUGUGGUCAUGAACUGUGGCCUCCGGAGCUAACGCGUUAAAUCGACCGCCUAGGGAGUACGGCCGCAAGGUUAAAACUCAAAUGAAUUGACGGGGGCCCGCACAAGCGGUGGAGAAUGUGGUUUAAUUCGAUGCAAUCGCGAAAAACCUUACCUACUCUUGACAUCCAGC